rnacentral:rRNA from 1 species
CAGCAGCCACGGGAAUACAGAGGGUGCGAGCGUUAAUCGGAUUUACUGGGCGUAAAGCGUGCGUAGGCGGCUUCUUAAGUCGGAUGUGAAAUCCCUGAGCUUAACUUAGGAAUUGCAUUCGAUACUGGGAAGCUAGAGUAUGGGAGAGGAUGGUAGAAUUCCAGGUGUAGCGGUGAAAUGCGUAGAGAUCUGGAGGAAUACCGAUGGCGAAGGCAGCCAUCUGGCCUAAUACUGACGCUGAGGUACGAAAGCAUGGGGAGAAAACAGGAUUAGAUACCCCCGUAGUCCCUGUCUCUUAUAC